CCUACGGGAGGCAGCAGUGAGGAAUAUUGGUCAAUGGGCGGAAGCCUGAACCAGCCAAGUCGCGUGAGGGAUUAAGGCCCUGCGGGUCGUAAACCUCUUUUGCCGGGGAGCAGAGGUCCGGACGUGUCCGGGCCGGGAGAGUACCCGGAGAAAAAGCAUCGGCUAACUCCGUGCCAGCAGCCGCGGUAACACGGAGGAUGCGAGGGUUAUCCGGAUUUAUUGGGUUUAAAGGGUGCGUAGGCGGGCAUUUAAGCCGGCGGUCAAAUGUCGGGGCUCAACCCCGGCCUGCCGUCGGAACUGGGUGCCUUGAGUGGGCGAGAGGUAUGCGGAAUGCGUGGGGGAGCGGUGAAAUGCAUAGAUAUCACGCAGAACCCCGAUUGCGAAGGCAGCAUACCGGCGCCCUACUGACGCUGAGGCACGAAAGUGCGGGUAUCGAACAGGAUUAGAUACCCUAGUAGUC
rnacentral:rRNA from 1 species